AUUUCUUCAACUUUGUACAUUUUCAUCUAGCCCAGUUUUCAUUUAUUAUCCUUCUAUAGAUGGCUGAACAAAUCCCAUUCAGCAUUGCAGAAAACUUAUUAACAAAGUUGACCUCAAUUGCUUCUGAAUAAAUUAAUUUGGUGUAUGGCUUCAAAAAUGAUCUCAGGAAGCUUCAAACAACUCUCUCCACCAUCAAAGCAAUACUUAUAGAUGCUAAUGAGAAGCAAGAGGAAAGCCGUGCAGUGAAGGACUGGAUAAGGAGGCUUAAAGAGGUUGUCUACGAUGCAGAUGACUUGUUGGAUGACGUAGCAACUGAAGGUUUGCGAAGAAAGGUUGAAGGUCAGGGAAGAGCGGUUAGGAAGGUAUGCGACUUCUUUUCUUCCUCAAAUCAAAUUGCAUUUCGUUUCAAGAUGAGUCAUAGAAUUAAAGAUGUUAGAGAAAGGCUAGAUGAAGUUGCCAAAGAAAUGUCAGACUUUGGCUUUAUAAUAAGUAAGGAAGUUGGAGUAGAUAUGCGAAUAAAGAAUAGUUCGAGGGAGACAGACUCCUGUGUGUUGAAAUCAGAAAUUAUAGGAAGAGACAAGGAUAAGGAGGAGAUCAUAAAAUCAUUGAUGUGUCCAGUGAAUCAAAGCAAUAUUUCUGUAGCUGCAAUUGUUGGGUUUGGUGGCUUGGGAAAGACUGCACUUGCCCAGUUAGUGUUUAAUGAUGAGAAAGUGGUGAAUUAUUUUGAUUUGAAGUUAUGGGUAUGUGUUUCUGAGGAGUCAAAUGUUGAAAUGCUAGUUAAACUCAUCCUUAAAAGUGCAACUAGUAAUGAAGUGCCCAACUUAUCUCUGGAACAAUUACAAAUCAAACUUAGACAAUGUUUAGGAGUCAAAUGUUGUAUGAUGACUUACCAUAUCAUUUAAAGCAGUGCUUUGCAUACUGCGCAAUGUUUCCUAAAGAUUAUGAGUUUGGUAAGGAGGAUUUAAUUCAAUUAUGGAUGGCACAAGGAUAUAUUCAAUCUCGGAGUCAAAGUAAAGAUGAAAGUUUAGAGGAGAUUGGGGAAGGAUACUUCAAUGAAUUGUUAUUUAGGUCAUUUUUCCAAAAGGAGAAUAACUUUUAUAAAAUGCAUGACCUUAUCAAUGACCUUGCACAGUCAAUGGCAGGAGAUAGUUGUUUUGUACUUGAUGAUAAUACUAAAUAUGUUCCUAAUAGAAUCCAACAUGUGUUUUCUGGAAAUUUGUCUUUUGAGGAAUGUUUCAAGCAGCUAAAAAAUAGAGGAUUGAGGACACUGUAUUGUGAGUAUUAUGGUGAUAAGUUAAGGUUGAAUUUAGGUAGUAUCUUUUCAAUCUCAAGGUAAAGAAGCACCUUCACUCCUUGACAUUGGAAUGGGGAGAUAGCGAUGGUGGAAAUAGUGAGUUGCUGUUGGAUAAUCUACACCCUCACCCGAAAUUGAAAUACUUGGAUGUUCAGUGCUAUGGAGGUUUGAGGUUUUCAAAUUGUCGAUAUUACUUUAUAUAAAUGUCCAAAAUGUGAGCAUCUGCCGCCGUUGGACAAUCUGCCUCAUUUGGAAUCUCUCUGUCUUAUUCAGUUUGAUUCUCUGGAGUACAUAUCAGAUGAAGAUAAUUUAUUCUCUGCUUUAUCUGCAUCAACAACAACAUUCUUUCCAUCCCUAAAGUUUCUUAACAUUGACUUUUGCCGUAAUCUGAAAGGGUGGUGGAGAACAUGUAUGGAAGCUAAGAUGGUGCCUCAAUUUCCUUGUCUUUCUCGCUUAAUCAUCUCAAAUUGCCCUAACUUGACUUUAAUGCCAACAUUUCCAUCUCUGGACACGGAGCUUUCUCUUUCCUAUGUCAGCAUAAGACCAUUGCAGCGGACAUUGCAGAUGGCUGCAAUGGCUUCUGCGUUACCAUCAGCCUCUUCUUCAGUUACUGCUCCUUUUUCCAAAUUAAAGACUUUGUGGUUAGAGGGUAUUGAGAAUCUAGCAUCUCUACCUGGUGAGUGGAUGCAGAACCUCAGCUUCCUUGAGGGACUAUUUGUUGGGCACAGUAUGGAAAUUAGUGAUGAGGAUGAACGUGGGAUAUUUAAAUGGAGAUGUCUUGUUAGUCUACGACGUCUCACUCUUUCUAAUCUAUCAAAUCUGGUGUCUCUACCAAGGGAGCUUCAAUAUGUUACUACAUUGCAGAGUCUCUCUAUCUGGAGUUGUUCUAAUUUGAGAGCUUUGCCUGAUUGGAUAGGCAACCUCACAGCACUUGAAAAUCUAAAUAUCGAUGACUGCCCUGAAUUGGAAUCGCUAUCAAGAGGAAUGCGUCAAAUCACCACUUUACAACAAUUGAGUAUUAGAGGUUGCCCCCGUUUGUCUGAAAGAUGCGGACACGAUACUGCUGCAGAUUGGCCCAAUAUUUCUCACAUUCCAAAUGUCCAGAUAGAUGAACGUGAUAUUCAAGAGGAGGGCCGAUAUCUAUUGUAAGAAGAAGGAUGCUCUGCUUUCAUGGGUUAGUUCUUCUUUCCUUAAUGUCUUUUUUACUUUAAAUAAAAUCAUCUUAUUUUUCUAGACAAAUGCUUCUAUCCUGUAGAUUACUACACUGUUCUGCCUUAAUCUUAUACAACUCCAAGUAUCAUGAUCCUUCAAAUUCUGAACACAAAUUCUGUCUGCAGAUAAUAGAUGCAAAUGUGAUUUGGACAGCCACAGAUGAUUUCUGGAUGUUGUAAUUGACUCAUUCGCAGGUUCUCAUCCCUUUACUUGUCAAUAACUGCAAUUAAUUUUCCCUUUUAAUUAAUCCAUAUAAUGAUGAUUAAAAUUGUCCUUCUAAUCUAGAUGUUUCAUUUACCUUUGUUGUUGCACUACCAAAACUGAAGCUCCAGGACUUUUGAAGCAAGCAGGUCUCCAAGCUCUAGAAUUUCACUCUAUUGAGAUUGGCCUAUGAAGAGGCAUCACUGAUAAGUUUGUGACUUUCUCAAUAACUGAGCAAUAAUUAUAAUAUAACCUUUUUUUUAUAAUUUUAAAAUUUUAUGUAAAUAUUAAUUAAAAUUCUCUAAUUAAUUUUUCUUUGUCACAAGUGACUUUUCAAGUUUGAAUCUUCAUGUCUAUUUAUUUUGAGAUAUUCAUAUCCAUAAUGAAAAGUAAAAAGAUUAUAUUCUAUCAUGUAAUUCAUCCAUUAUAAUCGACUUUUAUGAUUUAUUUAAUUCUCGACUUUUAUGAUUUAUUUAAUUAAAGUGAUACAAAUAUUAUCUUAAAUUAAAAAAGAGAAAGAAUAAUAAUAAUAAAAAAAAUUAAGGGCAAAAGACAGCUCUUCCACUCUUUAUUUUAAAAUCCCAUCAAGAAGAACAACAACGAAUGGAUUCUAAACCCAACAACCAUUGUUGUAAUCUUCACUUGUUUGUCUUCUGCUUUUGAUCUUCCUUAGUUUUAUGUGCCGUGUUAAAAUUCUCUAUUAAAUUCUUAAAAAGCCUGGCGACAUUGUUUCUUCUUCUUAGUUAUAGUUAUAAUUUUUUUUUUUCAAAGAUAUGAAAAUCAUUAAAGCCAUCAUAGUAAGGAAAGAACAAAGUUUAUUUGAUAAGAGCGAUUACAUCAGAGAGAUACAUCAUAAAUAAACUUUUUACGUAAUAAAUAUAUUUUUUGAUUAGCUUCUCGUCUUAUCUAAGAAAAAAAAACAACUUGAAAACCCGAAGAAAGCUGACCAUUGAAACAAGUUAACAAAGUUUAACAAGUAUUUAUCUUAUCUUUUUGCCAAAUGUCAUCUCACCAGGAGAAGAAUAAGUUCUAUCUGUUUAUAUUCUGUAUAAGUUACAAUUCUUCAAACUUUUUUUUUACCCAAUAAAUUCAUUUAUACUUCUCCUUAUAGUCUUCCACCAUGGCAAUUUGAAUCCUUCAAUCACAAUAUCUUCAAAAACUCCAAAGUUGCAUGAACCAACUAAACUAUAAGGGUAUGAAUUCUUCAUAAGCCCCAAAAACACAAUAUGCAACUCGUGCAACCUUAGACCAAUCCCCUUAGUAUUUCUUUGGAGCUACAAUCGUGCAGAAACAGAGUCUAUCAUCGAGCUCAAUUGGUAAAUUUGGAUUGCUCUCUGAGAAAGAAAAGUAUGGUUCUAAAUAUGAUUUCUCAAAAUUAAAAAAUCAAAAAUUUGAUUUAAAUUUUAGUUCUUAAUAAAAAUCUUACUAGAAUCAAAACUAAGCAGCCUUAAAAAAUUACUAUCUCAUUAGAUGCAAUUCUUAUGUUUGGCAAGCCUAUUAAUUUCUAUCAAUCAAACUAAAAGGCAAAUUAAAUAAUGAGAUUAUUUUUAUGAAGAAGAAUCAUGACCAGAACAAUUAAACCUAAAUAUAAAUACUUAUAUUUGGAUCAUUUGGCGGGACAUAAGGAUAUAAACGGGUAGAAUAUUUAUAUAAAAUCUAAUUUGAUUUAUAUUAUCAAUAUUCAAAUUCGCUCCGAUUAAACUGAUUAAAAAUUACCUUAAACUAAUUGAAACGGUCCUAAACUUUGAUUAUUACUACUUGGAUAAACUCAAACUAGUUUAAUCUCAUAUAUUCUAAUGAAUAAUGUAUAUAAAAAAUAUUUUUUAUUAAUAAUUUUCAUUUAAAAAGUAAUAUUUUUAAAAGAUAUUUAAAUUUAAAUUUUAAAUGAAAAUAUAUAUAUAAAAUUUUAUAAAUAUUAUUGUACAAUAUAUUUUUUUAUACAAAUAAUUUAUUUAUUUAAAUAGGUUGGAGCAACGUAUAUUUUAUAUAUAAAAUCUAAAUUCAACUUAAAAUCCACAUGGAUAUUAAUUUUCAAAUUUAAACUCGUCUCAAAUCUGAUUAUAAUUAUCUAACUCAGUCCUUCAGUGUCAUAACUAUCGACUAGAUAAGGUUAAAUGUACAAGUUAUGAAUAAUGGGAGAGAGAUAGAGUCCUUUGUAUUAAAAUCAGAAAUGGUAGGAAGAGUCGGUUACAAGAAAUUAAAUCUUUUGCGGAAAUAAAAAUCGUCAUUAAAUAUGUAAAAUUAGCCACUAAAAUAUUUAGUGGCAAAAUUAAAAUUUGCCAAUCACCAUAAAAAUUAUAAUGCUAGUGACUAUUUUUUAUAUUUAGUGGUGAAAUUUUGAUGAUUCAUUAUAAAUUUUAGUGCACUUUUAGUGGACAACUCAAUUCUCUUGGUUAGAUUGAAAUUAGACGAUGUUCAUGAGAGAUCAUUAUAUUUUUCCUCCAUAGGUAUAUAUACCAUAAGUGUUGUAAAGCCAUUUGAAAUAUUACAAAAUAGCAAUUGCCUAACAUAAUAAAUAUACUAGCUUCUAUUACUCAAGAAAUUGACAUACUUAAGGGUAUUAUGAUAAAGGAAAUGAUUCUCUUCCACUACCACCACCGCCAGUGCCAUCCUCCACCAUUAGAGUUUAAUAAAUAUAUCACUUGUAUACAUAUCCAUCCAUUUUCCUAUGCAUUUCACAUGACAUAAAGAGAAAUAUAUACAUAUUUUAUAUUUGCGCCAUUUUAUUUAUUCAUAUUAUUGGAAAAUUAUAUAAAAUUUUGAAUAUUAAAAUACAGUAUAUUGUUAUUUAGAUAAUUUUUUAAAUAUAGCUAAUAUUAUUUGGUUAUAAUUAUUUUUUUCUCUCUUCUUGAAUCAUUAAAUUUAAACAAUGAAAAUAUAAUAACAAACUAAAUUUAGCAAUGAAAUUAUAAUAGCAAAAAUUAAAUUUACACUAUAAUUUUAUAUAAUCAUAUUUAAAAAAUUUAAUAACUGACUAAUAUAUUGAUAGAUUUUCUAUAAAUAUCUCUGAGGUACAUUUUUAAAAUUUACCAAGCACUUUCCAUUUUUUUUUUUAUAAUUUUCAACUUUUUAUUUAGUAUAUUUUGAUUAUAUUUUAUUAACAAUGAGCUCAGAAAAUUUACUUAACUGAAAAUAUAUUCGUGAUCAAAGAAAAAAAGUUUGUUUUGAAUUUAUUUUUCACAUAUUGAGAUUCUUAUUAAAAUUUCUAUAUACAAAUUUAUUAAUAAAUUUUAUUUUUUAAAUUAAAAUUAAAUAAUAAAAAAUAAGUUAAAAAGCUUUCCACAUAAAAUAUUUUUCAAAUACAAGUUAUUUUCUAUGUCCAUAGAAAUCAAUAGGAAUGGCAAUGUAAAAGGUUUUGAAAAUCACGUGUUGUUUGGUAAGGUUCAUGAACAAAGUUGCAUCACUUGCCAAUUGCAUCAAAAAAAGAAUUGAAAGGAAAAUGAUAUAUUGCUUAUGAUAUGAAAUAUUCAAUGGAAAUUUUUAAGACUUGAAUUUAACAGAGAAUUCCAAUGCAGUGCAUAAAACUGAGAAGGAUCAAAGCAGAAGACAAACUAGCGAAGUUUUUCACAAUGGUUCCCAAAACAAGGUGUUCUUUUGCAAGCAUAGGCAUUUCCCAUCUCUUUAUUAAUUGUAUCAGAACCAGAACACCUGACAACAAGAGGUGCACCACAAAGUCCAGGAUUUCCAGCAAAAGAAUUUGCCUCAAAAGUUGCCAUUUGACCUGCAUAAGGAAUUUUCCUUGACAAAUUGUUGUAUGAGAAAUUCAAGUACGCUAGAAAAGACAUUGAGAUCAUGCUAGGAGGAAUUGGACCAAAAAACAUAUUGCUUGAUAGAUCAAGUGAUGCCAACUGAUGCAAUUCUGAAAUAGUUUCUGGAAUUUGACCACUUAUGUGAUUCCUUGACAAGUUUAACAUCACCAAUCCUGCCAAUUCCGUGACUUCAUGUGGCAGCUCUCCAUGUAAAUGGUUUCCUGAAAUGUCUAUGCAAGUCAAAAAGGAAAGAGUCCUUGUGUACUUUAAAGACUGACCUUUUGAAUUUACAACCAGAUUUUCUUGGUAAUAGACACCGGCCACCCAUCCAUACGAUAAAUCCUGCUUAAUGCGUCGUUCUUCAGUCAUGCCCUUGAGAUUACUCACUCUUGUAGAAAUGCUUCCUCUCAGCUGAUUUUCUGCUAGGUCCAGGACUUGCAAAGAACUCAAAUUGAAAAGUCCAGAAGGAACUUCUCCUGAAAAUGCAUUGGAACUCAAGCUAAGAAUUUUAAGACAUGGAAAAGAAUCUCCAAGCCAUUGUGGAAUUUUCCCUGUUCACCCGUUGUAACCAAGGUCCAGAGUAAUCAUCCACAAAAAGUGAUAAAAUAUCUGAAUCCAACCUUAGAUCCAACAGGACAUGGGCUGUAAUACCCGGCUAGACUCCGGUAUCGGAAUUCCUACCGUCCGGUGGAAUCUCGGAUGUCGGAAACCUCUAGAAGGGUAAAAUCAUAUUUUUACAAAUGUUUGUCAUGUUUUUAAAGAUUAUUUUUGAGUUAAAGUUUUAAAGAAAAGAAAGAAAGGGAAUGAAGGAAAAACCCAGGUUCGGUCGCCGAACAUGGCAUGCAUGCGGAGGCAUGUUAGGCCCCCGAAAGUGGCCUGGCCAGCCACCUAUAAAGGGGUCCCCUGUCCGAAACGGGCGAGCUUUUUGUCCCCAUUUCCGGCCAAGGUGAGUCUCCGUCAUCCCCUUGUCGAUCUUGUGUUCUUCCUUCAAUCUCUUUUGAUUUUCAUGAGUUUUCAACUUGGUUUUGAAGAUUUUUGAGCAAAGAACGAGUUUUGGGAACUUGGAGACCAAAGAGUUGAUUUCUCCCCAUCUCCGAGCUAGGAUCGUCUCUCCUCUCGAUUUUCAAGAGGUAAGCUUAGAUCCUACCAUUUUUGUAUGUUUUAAGUAAGUUUUAAGAUGAUUCAUGGGGGUAGAAAUGCAUGUGUUAGAGUUUAUGCAUAUUGAUAGGGUUUAUGUGAGUUUAUGGACAAUGUGAGUUGUAUGUGUUUAUGUUUUGUGUUUUUGUUGGGGUUUAGGUUAGUUUGAGACCCCUAGAUGUUUGUGGAAGUGUGUAUGCAUGUUUUAGUUGAGUUGAGAAGUUUGGGAGGCAUUUGUGCAUGUGAGAGCUGAGUUCUGCCACUUCUGGAAGUUGGCAGCCAAAGGCACUUUCGGCCGCCGAACCUGCUUGUGGAGGCAAGCUUUUGGCUGCCGAACCCUGCCCCCGAAAGUUGGACUUUCGACUCUGGAGGGGAGUUUCGGCCGCCGAAGGUGCCGCCGAACAUGCAUGAGUUUCAUCUCUGGGAAGGGACUUUCGGCUGCCGAAGGUGCCGCCGAAAGUGACUGAGUUUCGGCUCUGGAGGGACUUUCGGCCGCCGAACCUGCCGCCGAAAGUGCCCUGUUCAGCCUUCCUUUGCAUGAUUUCUAUGAUUGUUUUAUGAGAUUUUAGGGGUUUUUUUUUUGGGGGGGGGGUUGUUUAGUGUCAUGUUAGUCGAUGUUCGGUCUCUCAUUUGAGUCCACCUGUGUAGGUUCAGACCCGAGGAACCAAGGACCCCAGCAGUGAGCUCGCUGUUUCAUAGUCAGCCAGAGGUGAGUAGAAUAAACCUUUAUGUUUUAAAGUAAAUGAAUUUUGAGCAUGUUCAUGCAUCACGAUUGCUAUGAUAUAUAUAUAUACUAGGUUGUAUGCAUUAUAAUUCACGAAUAUGUUGCAUUGCAUAUUAUGAUGUUGAUGUGGGUGGAUAUUGGAUGAUCCUUUAGUCCUCGUAUGAUAUGAUAUGAUGAUGAUAUGGUAUGGUAUGGAAGUCCAGGUCGAGGCCCAUUCUACGCCCCUGGCACUAUGUUAAGAGAAAGACCAGGUCGAGGCCCAUUCUACGCCCCUGGCACUAUGUUAAGAGAAAGACCAGGUCGAGACCCAUUCUACGCCCCUGGCACUAUUGGACAUGUAGAGGACUAUUGGUGAUAAUUUCACUCUUGAUGUGAUUUGUUUGUGAUGUGAUGCAUUCCAUGUUAUCAUAUGUUUUAAAUGUUUUUACUAUUCUGCUCACUGGGCUCUAGUAGCUCACCCCGUUCCCUUAACCCCCCAGAUUUGCAGGUACUGGAUAGACUAGGAGGUCAGCAAGAGUCAAUAAGUCAUUUAUGAAAUAGUUAGAUGUGGACAUGAAAAGUGAUGUAAUGUAAAGUAUUGAAUAGUUAUGUAAUGUAAUGAUGUCCUUUGAGGAUUAGUAUUGUGCUUGAUCAUAGUAUGUACAGUUAAUCCCUUUUUAUAUACAUGAUCUAUGUUUUAUGAUGUUUAUGUUUAAUUAAGCUUAAUGUAUGUUAUGAUACCCCAUUGGAGCAUUUGAUGAGGGCUCUAGUGUGAGGUUUAUAUUUAUGUAUAUGUGCAUGCACAGGUUAAGCUUGAUUAAGGAAAAGAAAAAGUUUACAAUUUGUGUAUAUGUAUGAUCAUGUAUGGGAUUAAAUAGGUUUACAGAAUGUAUGUUAGGCUUGCUACGGGUCCGGACGACCUUAAGUCGAUCUGGAUCCUAGCGCCGGUAGCGGUCCGGUUUCGGGGUCGUUACAUGGGCCCUAAACAUCUUAAUGAACUAAUUCAAAAGCAGACUUAGCUCGUUUAUUGACUCUAUGACUUAAAGAGAUUCGACGAUAUUUUGUAAAAUGACAUGACUCACAUUCCAGUAAAGAUAAAGGCAUAACUUCUUCAAAAUCAGUAAAAAAGAGUGUCCCAACCGAUAAUAUGCUUCAAACGGAGACGCGAUACUGGAGUAAGCAACAGACUGAGGUACCCAUGUAUCCAAAAUGUAGAGACCCCAGAUACAUGUCUAUGCUUCGUCACAAGAUCCUGAAUGAGACAAUGAUCAGGAAAAAAAGAAACAUAACAAUUUAGGUCUUUAGUAAGUUUACCCACAGAGAUUAAAUUAAAGGCAAGAUUAAGUAGACUUAGCACAAAUGAUAGAGUAAUAGAAGGAGUAGGUUUAACAUUCCCAGAACCCUCAACAUUAUAGGUUGACUCAUCAGCUAUAAUAACAGGAGAAUGUGCUUUAUGAGAUCGAAAGCUAGUAAAAAUAUGAGAAUUAUCUGUCAUGUGAUCCGUGAUACCAGAAUUAAUGACCCAUUUAUAUCCGUGAUACUAGAAUUAAUGACCCAUUUAUAUGAAGAGGAAAUAAGACACGUUUUACCUGUUUCAGCCGCUACUGAAGACGUUGGGAUAAUUUUAAUAAUAUAGGUCUUACUGUAAGAAACCAUUUCAACUAAAAUCCUAUAUUCCUAUACCUUCAAACGAAUUAAAGAAAGAUAACAAAACCUAACCCAGUGAACAGUAUCAAAAAAUGCCUCCACCCAAUACCCAAACGGCAAACGAACCACAGAUUUGACAAGGGAGCUACAAGGCGACUUCGGCUUUCUCUCUAGGUGGACGGUGAGAGACAAAUAUUACCUUAGAUGGGUAACACAAAAGAAUAGGAGGCCUAAAUCUCCAAAAAUUUAAAACUUGACGGGAGAGGAAAAAAAAUCUCUACGAGAAUGGUUCUGAUACCAUGUAAUAAGAUAAAGAAUAAUUGGGCAAUUUCAGUAUAUUUUUCUAUUGAAGUAAGUUGAUACAUGUGCAGAUUACAAGGUCUUGUUAAGACAACUCUUAAUAAUCCUCUAUCAAUCAAUUAGCCUAUGAUUACGUAAUCUCCUAUAAUUAUAUAUAGAUUAUAUUCACACUCUAACACAUUAUAACCAUGCGAGAGUAUCGUGGUUUUCCAGCUCCUACUCUUACAAGCCUAGUCCUGUGGCAUACCUUCCUUUGCUUUGUGGUCAUUUUCUCUGUUAGUCAAGCUUUCCAUGAUGAACUAGCUUUAAUUGCAACUGUGUGGUGGUUUAUUUGGAAAAAAAGAAACAAGACAAUCUUUCAACACAUGCCUCCAGAUCCUAUCUUUGUGACUCGCAAGACCCUUUCUAGCUUUUAAGAGUUAGACUUUGUAACAGACAUAGGCUGCCCCCAUGUUCCUUGUAGUGUUCAUAAUUCUGGUGUUUCUGUUUAGCAAGCUCCGCCAAUUGGGAUGUUAAAGUUCAAUUCUGAUACUGCUUGAAAAUCUGAUUCAAUGUUUGCUUCUAUUGCUGUUGUGGUUCAGAACUGCUAUGGUAAACUUUUGGAUGGUAGAGAUUGUAAGGUUGUUGCGAGAGUAUCCUAUUGGCAAAAGCUUUAGGGUCUUGGAGGCUAUGAAACUAGCUAUAAAGAUGGGAGCUAAGAAUGUUUUUAUGAAAACAUAUUCAAAAUCGGUACAUUCGGCUGUCAUUUCUUAACUCCAUGUGCGUAGGAUAUUAGGGCCACUCUCCAAAAGCAAAAAGUCAUCCUAUUUUUCUCAAAUGACCUCCAUAUAAUUUACUUUCUAAAAUGGAAGCCCAUUGACUUUUCUUCAAUUGAAUGGACUUUGUUUGGAACGAUUCAUUUUGUAAAGAAAUUUUUAAAUAAACUCUUUAACUUUGAAUAAAUUAUAAUUUAGUAUCUAACAAAAUAGUUGAUAUAUUUUUAAAAGCCAUUUUUUACUAGUAAAAGGUGAGAUGAGAUAACACAAAUUAUUUUUUUUAAUCAAUAUUAUUAAAUUCGAGUCUUAUAUAUGGAAUGCUUUUGAAAUUUGGGAUGAUGCACUUUUCCCUUUGGUAAAUUUAUUUGGUGUGAAUCUGGAUUAUUGGGACUAACAAACUUUGGAUAUUGGAUGGUUCAAAUAAAAAAAAAUUACCUUUUUGAUCCUUGUAAUUUUAUAAAAAUCCAUAAAUUAGUCCAUGCUAUAAGAAAUAUAACCAUGAUUCAUUUAUUUCAUUUAUAACAUAAUCUUUAUAAUUUCGUACAUUCUAAUAAUUUAGUUCCUACACUUUAAAUAUAUUUAACAAGUUAGUCCCUAAAAGUGACUCGAUUGUAUCUUUUACAGUAGAACUAAUUUGUUGAUUUUUUUUAAAUUAUAAUAACUAAAUAAAUGACUCUUAAAAUUAUAAGAACUAAUAUAUAAUUUUUAUUAAAAUAUAAGGAUUAAAUUUUAAUUUACCUUUAAGGGUAAAUAUAGUAAUAAUAUAUAAUUACUAGCAUAAAAUUAAUAAAUAAUUUUAAUUAAUUAAUUUGAACCAAGUGAAAUAUAAAUACAAAAAUUAUUUAGACUAAUUUUAAUUUUAUUGUUGCAAUUGAUUAAUUAAUUUUAUUGAUUUUUCAAAUGCCAAAAAGUACCAAAAAUAUAUAUUCUUCUUAGAAAUGUUUUGUUUUGAAACAAAUGAUCCUGAAUUUGAUAUAUAUUAGAGCUGCUAUAUUAAAAAUUAGUUUAUUAAGUAUGUUUGUUAAACAAUAUUAAAAAGUAAUUUUUAAGUUAAUUUAAUAUAUUCUAAUCAUAAACAGUUUAUACUAAUUAAAUAAAAUUUUAAACUACAUUCUUUAAAAAGAUCUAGGGAGAUUUACUAUUUAAUUAUUUGAUAUUGCCAUUAUUAACAAAUCAGUCCCUAUAUUUUUAAAAAUUUAUUAAAAUAUUCUUAUUUUUUCUUUCCGUCAAUCAAUAAAAUAGUCAUUACAUCAUCUUUUCCAUUAAAAAUAAGUUAAAAAUAAAUGAAGAAUGAGAGAAAAUUUUUAAAACAUAAUUUUAUCCUCAAAUAAAACCCUUUAUUUAGUCACUGAGUAUUGUCAUUAUUAACAGAUUAGCCCCUAUAUUUUUAUAAAUUUAUUAAAACUUUCUUUUUUUUUUUUCAAAUCUAUUAAAAUAUUUUUAUAUUUUUCUUUUGGUCAAUAAAAUAGUCCCUCCUCCUAAAAAAAGAUGAAGAUGAAGAAAAAGAGGAGGAGGCAUCUAGAAGAAGAGAAGGAAGAAUCAAAAUCGAAAAAGAAAAAGAAAAUAAAGAAGAAGAAGAAAAAAAAAAAAGAAAAGAAAGAGGAGAAGGGAUCUAGAAGAAGAAGAAGGGUAAUUUAGUUUUUUAUUAUAUUUUUAAUGGUAAAAAUAGACGAAAUAACUAUUUUAUUGAUAAGAAAAAAGAUAAAAAUAUUUUAAUAGAUUUUUUAAAAUACAGUUCCUUGUUAAUAAUAACAAUAUCAAAUGACUAAAUAGUAAAUCUCUCAAAAAUCUAAAAUUAGUAAAUAUAUAGUAAAUCUGGAAAAUGAUAUUUAUAUCACAAUCCUAAAUGUAUUUGCAGUGGGUCACUAGUCUAUUGUUUUUUUCUAAUAAUGCCUUGUUUUGGCUUAUUGGAAAACUAUGAAAUAUGAUCUAAUUUUGUUUAGAAAUUAAAAAAAAAAAGAUUAUUUUUUAAUAUAUAUAGAUAUAUAUUAGAAUUGGCUUAAAUUUAAAUUAAACUGUGUUGCUUUGGGGUACUAGGCCGUGAUGGUGCGGAAUUGCUUUGAGGCUCCGUUUGGGCCGCUGCCUUUGUCAUUGUUUAGGCACCUGGUUAUUGGCCUUUUUUCUUAUUUUUAUUUUUAAUCAAAUAUAUGAAUCCAUUAAUAUAAAAAGGUCCAACAACUAUAUGAAGAUUCGUAGAAGAAACAAUAAAGCUCAAGAAACUAACACAACAAAGCAAAGGGAAGCCUAUUCUUAUAGUCUAGAAACAGCCCUAACAGAAGCAGAAACGCCCAAGAAAAGAUAUAAUGGAAACCAAAACUAAGAAUUCUAUAAAUUGAUGGUUCCAACAAUCUCACCCGCAUAAUCAGCUUAAACAUUCAUUCUAAAACUCAAAAGAAUCACGAAAAUAAUAAGAGACAACUAAAACCCUAAAGAAGGAAAGGAAUCAUAUUGAGACUUUGAUAGAAAAAGGUUGUCAUAAGAAAUAAGGAUCACCCUCUAGAUCUAGGCAGCUUUCAACACCUUUAAAGAACUAUUGAGAGGGCGAUGAGGAUUUAACACCUACCUCUUGUACCAUCCAAAGACAAAUUUAUAAGCCACCGCCUCACCCCUUUACUAGAUGCCACAAUUUCACCAUAGCUGAAGAUUUUCAGUAACUUACAAACAUAUAAAAUACAAUAUACAAAGAAAAAAAAAAAAACUCAAUAAAGACCCUUGCCUGUAUCUCCCCCAACUAUAGGAGGGGAAAUUCAAAACCAAAACAAAGGGAGGCCCCACCGCCCAGAGAGGCAGACGAAAGACUUUCAAAAAAAUAGAAAAUGGCGGUGAUAUCCGAACAAAAAGACUUCCUCUGAAAGAAGAAGAAAUACUCUCUUUAUAGAGAGAUCAAAAUACUACUUGUGGCUAUUGGCCUAUUAAAUUUGUAUAUAACAUGAUUUUAAUGAAAAAAAAAAAGAAAUUUUUAUCCUUUUAUUUUUAUGCUCAAAUAAACUCAAAUUUAAGUUUUUUUCAAAUUAAACGGAAGCUUUUCAUUUGUGAAAAUAUUAGCCCAUUCUCAAAAUCAACUUAAUCUUCUAUUUGACCCCAGAUUGGGUAAUUUCAUCCCAUUGUUCCAUUAACUCUCCCUUUCCCAAACUCCAUCAGCUUAUGAGAGACUUCCCAACAAGCAUCACAUCCAAAUUCGAAAAUUAGUGUGUAACGAAAAUAAAGCUACAAUUGUUUGUCACAACAAUAGAAACCCCAGCAUACACGGAACAAAUAUUCUCAAGAUGAAGACCAACAAAAUUGCCACUGCGAUUGUAGUUCUCAUGCGUAUCACUGUUGUUGUAAUAAUUAAAAUAUAAUUAUUAAUUAAAAAAUAAAAAUAUAAAAAAAUAUUACAAUUUCACUCAAUUUUUUUUUUAAAUUAUGUAAUUUAAUUUAUAUUAAAUUAGCAUUUCAUAUCAUGAUUUUCAUAUCAAAAUUUCUUACAGCGUUUAAAAAUUGCUUCUGAUUGUUUGGAAUAAAAGCUUCUUGAUCUCCACCUCAUCCAAUUAAGUACCUAACCCCACCUAAAAGAAAAGGAAAUAUACAUUGCUUUUAAAUAUGGUCAUGUGGAAUAAUUUCUCUAUUUUGGAAUAAAAAAUUUUGUAAAAAUUUAAUUUUUUUUUUAUUAUUUCUCUUAUAUUGAAUAAUAAAAUUUAAUUUUUUUAUUUAAAACAAAAAUCAUUUAAAAAAAAAUUGAAUUUGUCUGUACGUAAAAUUAUAAGAUCAAUUCGUUCUAAUUUUUUUUUUUUUUUUUUAUGAAAUUAAUCCUUCCAAGCAAAGAGAGAAUAUAUGUUUGAGUGGGAGUUAAUAUUUAGUCGAUUCGGUUCAAAAUUGAAUUGAACUGAAUAAAUGAAAAAUUAAAAUUUUAGCAUUUAUAAAAAUAAAUUUGAACUGAUUUUGAUCAGAAAUUAAAUCGAACUCAACCGACAUGAUUCGGUUAGAUUUAGUUCGGUUUGAUCAGUUUCAAUUUUUAAUAAAUUUUUUUCACUUUAUUUUUAAUAUUUUAAAUUUUAAUUAAAAUAUUUUAAUUUUAAUAUGGUUUAAUUUUAAUAUUAUUAUCACAAAUCGGUUCGGUUUGAUUUUUUUGAUUUUUUUCAGAUUAAAAUCGAACCAAACUGAAAUAACUGAAAUUUUUAAAAUUAAAAACCGAGCCAAACCAAAUCAAACUGAAAUGAAUAAAAAACCGAACAGAAUUUUCAAAUUAAUUCGAUUGGAUCGAUUUUUUCAGUUUGGACCGAAUAUUACUCACCCUAAGUCCGAGUUAUACUAUCCAUGUUUCUCUAGGAAAUUACUUCCAUAACAGGCAAAGCAUAACUUCUUGUAUGUAUUCAUCCUUUUCGAUUUAUCAUAUUCAUUGCUUCUGCCUUAGGAAUAAAAAUACUUUGCUUCUUCUACUUGGAGAAUGUAAUGCUUUCUUCUAUAUAUUGGCUCAUUAAUUAUGGACUGCUUCAUCUUUCACAAAUUCACAAAUUUUCUUCAACUUUGUACAAUUUCAUCUAGCCCAGUUUUCAUUUAUUAUCCUUCUAUAGAUGGCUGAACAAAUCCCAUUCAGCAUUGCAGAAAACUUAUUAACAAAGUUGACCUCAAUUGCUUCUGAAGAAAUUAAUUUGGUGUAUGGCUUCAAAAAUGAUCUCAGGAAGCUUCAAACAACUCUCUCCACCAUCAAAGCAAUACUUGUAGAUGCUGAUAAGAAGCAAGAGGAAAGCCUUGCAGUGAAGGACUGGAUAAGGAGGCUUAAAGAGGUUGUCUACGAUGCAGAUGACUUGUUGGAUGACGUAGCAACUGAAGGUUUGCGAAGAAAGGUUGAAGGUCAGGGAAGAAUGGUGAGGAAGGUAUGCGACUUCUUUUCUUCCUCAAAUCAAAUUGCAUUUCGUUUCAAGAUGAGUCAUAGAAUUAAAGAUAUUAGAGAGAGGCUAGAUGAAGUCGCCAAAGAAAUGUCUGACUUUGGCUUUAUAAUAAGGAAGGAAGUUGGAGUAGAUAUGCGAAUAAAGAGUAGUUGGAGGGAGACAGACUCCUUUGUGUUGAAAUCAGAAAUUAUAGGAAGAGAUAAGGAUAAGGAGGAGAUCAUAAAAUCAUUGAUGUGUCCAGUGAAUCAAAGCAAUAUUUCUGUAGCUGCAAUUGUUGGGUUUGGUGGCUUGGGAAAGACUGCACUUGCCCAGUUAGUGUUUAAUGAUGAGAAAGUGGUGAAUUAUUUUGAUUUGAAGUUAUGGGUAUGUGUUUCUGAGGAGUCAAAUGUUGAAAUGCUAGUUAAACUCAUCCUUAAAAGUGCAACUAGUAAGGAAGUGCCCAACUUAUCUUUGGAACAAUUACAAAUCGAACUUAGACAAUGUUUAGAAGGCAAAAAGUACUUGUUGGUGUUGGACGAUGUGUGGAAUAUAAACAAUAUGAUUUGGAGUCAAUUGAGGAAAUAUUUGAUGGUUGGUGCCACAGGAAGUAGAAUUUUAGUAACUACUCGUAGCACACGAGUUGCUUUAGCCAUGGGUGUAGACUGUCCAUAUGCUCUAGCGGGUCUAACAGAAGAUCAAUCAUGGGAUCUGUUUGAGAUGCUAGCAUUUAGAGAGGGGACAAGUAGAGUGAAUUCAAAUCUAAUAGAAAUUGGGAAAGAAAUUGCAAAGAAGUGCAAAGGAGUUCCACUUGCAAUUAGAGCUAUAGGAGGCAUAAUGCAACUAAGAAGUAGUGAAAGUGAAUGGUUGUCUAUCCUAGAAAAUGAGUUGUGGAAGGUCUUUGAGAGUGAUAGUGAUAUUGGUCCAGUGUUGAAAUUGAGUUAUGAUGACUUACCAUAUCAUUUAAAGCAGUGCUUUGCAUACUGCGCAAUGUUUCCUAAAGAUUAUGAGUUUGGUAAGGAGGAUUUAAUUCAAUUAUGGAUGGCACAAGGCUAUGUUCAAUCUCGGAGUCAAAGUAAAGAUGAAAGUUUAGAGGAG
rnacentral:lncRNA from 1 species